AAUAAGUUUUAUUCUUGCUUAUUUAUUUAUUAUGAAAAAAAAUAUUAUAUGUAAUUGAUUAAUAGUUAAUAUAUUCUAAAUGAAUAAAUAAUUUUUGGUAGCAGUAAUAAAUAUUAUAAAUUAAGGUAGUUUUGAAUUAGUUAUUUUCAUUAAGUGUUGACAAAGUAUGUGCCAGCAGUCGCGGUUAUACAUAAAAUAUUAAUAAAUGUUUUUAGUUAAGUUAGUUAAUAUAAAUAAUUUAAUUUAUUUAUAAAGUUUUUGGGUGAAAUCAAUAUUUUUUGUUUUAAUUAAUAUAAAAAUAUGUAUGAGGCUAAGAAAUCUAAGAAUUUAAACUAGGAUUAGAUACCCUAUUAUUUUGGACUUAAAAUUUAUUUAUAACUUGAGUAGUAUUAGUUAUAGACUUGAAACUUAAAGAAUUUGGCGGUAUCUUAGUCUAUUUAGAGGAAUCUGUUCCGUUAUCGAUAGUCCACGUUGAACCUUACCUAACUUUAUUAAUUUGUAUACCGCCGUUUAUUUGAAAAUCUUAUUAGGGUAAUUUUCUUAAUAUUUUAUUAAGUAAAAUUUCAGGUCAAGGUGCAGUUUAUAAUUAGGUGGAAAUGGAUUACAAUAUAUUUAUAAACGGAAUUUAAGCUGUAAUUUUUAUAUAAAGGUGGAUUUAAUAGUAAUUUUAAUGAGAUUAUUAAAAUGAUUUUAGCUCUAGGAUGUGUACACAUCGCCCGUCACUCUCACUAUUAAGGUGAGAUAAGUCGUAACAAAGUAGGUGUACCGGAAGGUGUAGCUAGAUUAAU
rnacentral:ncRNA from 1 species